rnacentral:rRNA from 1 species
UACGGAGGGUGCAAGCGUUAAUCGGAAUUACUGGGCGUAAAGCGCGCGUAGGCGGCUCGAUAAGUCGGAUGUGAAAGCCCUGGGCUCAACCUGGGAACUGCAUUCGAUACUGUCGGGCUAGAGUGUGGGAGAGGGUGGUGGAAUUCCCGGUGUAGCGGUGAAAUGCGUAGAUAUCGGGAGGAACAUCAGUGGCGAAGGCGACCGCCUGGCCCAACACUGACGCUGAGGUGCGAAAGCGUGGGUAGCAAACAGG